rnacentral:rRNA from 1 species
GAUGAACGCUGGCGGCGUGCUUAACACAUGCAAGUCGAACGGUGAAGCAGAGCUUGCUCUGUGGAUCAGUGGCGAACGGGUGAGCAACACGUGAGCAAUCUGCCCCUGACUCUGGGAUAAGCGCUGGAAACGGCGUCUAAUACCGGAUACGAGCUGCGAAGGCAUCUUCAGCAGCUGGAAAGAAUUUCGGUCAGGGAUGAGCUCGCGGCCUAUCAGCUUGUUGGUGAGGUAACGGCUCACCAAGGCGUCGACGGGUAGCCGGCCUGAGAGGGUGACCGGCGACACUGGGCCUGAGGCACGCCCCAGACUCCUACGGGAGGCAGCAGUGGGGAAUAUUGCACAAUGGGCGAAAGCCUGAUGCAGCAACGCCGCGUGCGGGAUGACGGCCUUCGGGUUGUAAACCGCUUUUAGUAGGGAAGAAGCCGUCGGGUGACGGUACCUGCAGAAAAAGGACCGGCUAACUACGUGCCAGCAGCCGCCGUAACAC